rnacentral:lncRNA from 1 species
AUGGCACUUUUAUUUGGUGCCACCUCUCAUUUUUUAUGGACAAAACCCCAUAGUGAGCAAUCAGGACAGAAGUGGGAAACCCAGGAGCCUUUGCCUUCCACAGUGGACUUAAUUUCCAUUUUCUCUUCUCUUUCAGGACAGGAAGAAAUGCUUAACUCAUCCCAUCUUUGCCCAGAGCCUUGGUGUUUGAGCAGCCAAACCCAACAAGCUCCAGAACUGCUGGUCCUGCCCAUGGUGUGGGAUUCUGGACUUGCCUCUGUGGACAUGUGUGCUGAGCUCUCACUGCAGGGAACUGUCAGGCCUUGAUGGUUGUGAGUUCAUGUUCUUCUCUCUGGGGAAUUGGAAAUAAUUAUUAAUGAAUUGCAGAAGAGUUUCCUCAAAGCUUUCCCCUUUCUCCCAGCAUGUGGAACAAGGGCAGAGAGAGGGAGCAGAGGAGCAGCUGGGGCUGGAGAGAGGCACUGUGGGCAAAGGGACCUCCCUGGUGCCACCAGGGCACCUGUGGGGAACUAAAUGGACACUGAGGGCAAAGUGCAGGCAAUUGCUGGCAGAGCUGGGGGAAGAUCUAACUUCAGCUACAGGGAAUAAGCAUGGGGAUAAUUUUGAGGAAAAGCUGAGGUGAUGUUUAGGGGAGAGAAGGAGUCAAUAUUUUACAGAAAGCAAAAUUCUGGGGGUAAAACUUGAUGUAAUCUGUAGGGGACAGAAUGGAUAUUUUGGGGUAAAAAUGAGGUACUCAGAAGUGGAUUGGUGAGGAAAAUUCUGGAAGCACAACCUGACCAAAUCUCUAGAGCAGAAAACAAAACAUUUUGAGGGAAAAAUGAGGUGAUGAAUAGCGAGUGUGUAAGGAAAAUUUGGGGGUUAAAUCUGAGAUAAUCUCUAGGGGAGAGCACAAACAUAGUAAGGUAGUAUGAGGGAAUCAGUUAUGGGCAGGUAGGGAAAUUUUGGGGGGUAAAAAUAGUAAGACAUUAUCUGUAGUCAGAAAAUGAACAUUUUGAGGUAAAAAAUGAGGUCAUUAGUAGUAGACAGAUGGAAAAUUGGGGGGGCAAAUCCUGAGAAAAGCUACAUGGUAGAAAAUCAAUACUGAAGUUAAAAUGAGGGCAUCAGUAGUGGAUAGGUAGAGGAGAUUUGGGGGCUAAGUUUGAAAUAAUCUAAAGGUUGACAAUUAAUAUUUUUAAUUAGAAAUGAGGUAAUAAGUUGUAGAUAAGUAAGGAAAAUUUUGCAGGUAAAACUUGAGUAAAUCUCUAGGGAGAGAGUGAACCCUGACAAACUGAGGCAGUCAAGGAAAUUUUUGGGGGUAUGACUUGGGAAAAUCUGUAGGACAGAGAAUGGACAUAUUGAGGUAAAAAGGAGAUGAUUGGGAGUGGACAGGCAGGGAGAAUUUAGGGGCCAAACCGGAUAUAAUGUGUCAGAACAAGAAAUGAUUUUGAGAAGAACUCUGAUGUGAUGUGUAAGGGGCAGAAUGAACAUUUUGGGGAUAAGACAGACAUAACUUGUGUGGGUUUGUUUUCAAAUCUAGUUAGUGUAUAGGGGACAAAAUGAACAUUUUAGUCAUAAAAUAGGAGUUACCCUGUAGAGGAAAGAAUGCAUAUUUUGAGGUAAAAAGGAGGUAAUCAGAACUGGGCAGGUAGGGAACAUAUUGGGGGGGAAAAAGUGAGGUAAUGUCCAGAGUAGAAAAUGAAUGCUUGCUUGUAAAAAAUGAGGAAAGCAGAAGUGAACAGACAGGGAAAAUGUGGAGGGGAAAUGUUAAAUAAUCCCCAGGGAACAUAAUGAAAACAUAGGUGAUCACUUGUGGACACGUAAUGAGAAUUUUGGGUGUAGAAAGCAUUAUUUUCUCCAGGAUGGAGAAUUAACAUUUUGAGGUGAACAAGAGAUAACUAGUAGUAGACAGGUAGGGAAAAUCUUGGGGGUAAAACUUGAAAUAAUCUGUAGGGCAGGGAAUUAAUAUCUCAAGGGAAAAUGAAAUAAUCAGUAGUGGACAGAAAAGGGAAAUUUUGAGUAAGCCUUUAGGUAAUCUCUAGGUGAAAGAAGAAACAUUUUAAGAUAAAAUGAGUUGAUCAGUAGUGGACAUCAAGGGACAACUUGGGGGCAAAACCUGAGAUAAUUUGUAAGGGUAAGAAGUACUUUGGAGAAAAAGAUCUGACGUAAUUUGUACGGGCCACAUGAAGAUUUUGGGGAUAAAAAAGACAGAACCUGUGUGGUUUCUGGUUUUAAAAAUCUAGGUAAUAUAUUGGGGAGAAAAUGGACAUUUUGGUCAUAAAAUCAGAGUUAACAUGCAGGUGAAAGAAUUAGUAUUUUGGAGGUCAACUGAGGCAGUCAGUAGUGCACAGGAAGGGAAAAUGUUGGCAGCUCAAGGUGAGGAAAUGACUGGAGGGAAACUCAGGCCUCACCUUGUCCUCCUUCCUGGGCAGAGCCAGCAGGAAAGGGAAGAGAGGCCCCGGUGGGACGAGGCUGGAGAGGGACAGGAGAAAGGCAGAGGGACCUCCCUGUGCCACCAGGGCACCUGUGACACAAGGAACACCCUGAGGGAAGGUGGAGGUGAGGAGUGGGCAGUCUGGGGCAAAAUCUGAGCUCAUCUGCAGGGGAAUAAGUAGGGGAUAUUUUGGAGGGGAAAGCUCAGGUGAUAAAUUAACCAAGCUUGGCCCAAGUUGUAUUUGCACAAAGUGGGACCAGAGGUGAAGGUUAAUCCAAAGCCAACCCUGCUCAACCUCUAAAUUCCAGAAUAAAUUCUACAAGCUGCCCAUGGAGGGACUAAAAUUAGAUAAAAACAAAACCAAGAGCAUACCAGAAGGAUCCUGGGAAUCCCAUCACAGUGUUGUCACAGCCUUUUUAACAGAUCUUUAAGAUCUUCAUUUCUCUGUCAGGAUCAUCCACUCCAUGGGCGAUGGGAUUUGUUUGGAUUUGAGCUCCCUUCCCAGUGGCCCUGACACUGCUCAGGAGCUGGCAGGAAAAGCAGAGUCAGAGCUCCUGGCAGGGCCAGGGUGUUUUCCCCCAGAGCUGCUGCCCACCAGGCUGGCUAGGAGAGAUCUGCCUUGGCUUUACAGGGAAUGUUUGCAGUGACUCAGGAGAUUCCAGCAGCCUCGUGUCCCGGCGCUUCCCGGGCAGCCGAGCUGCUCUCCCGCCCCUCCUGCUCCCAAGCCCCGCCGAGCCGAGGGGAAUUUGUCCUGCCAGCAGCAGGGGAAGGACCCUGGGGCUUGGAUUGUCCCUCUGGGGGAUGUUGGGAUUUCCAUCAUUCCAUGCAUUUGGCUGCUGGAAUUUCCCAGCCCAGGGGCUUUAGCUGACAGGGCAGCACAGGGAUUGUUCUCGGUGUGGCACCCAGAUCUCAGGGUCAGUAUCAGCUUUUCUGUUUCAGAUGAAUUAUACCCACAGCCCCAAAUUCCCUGCUGAAUUCCUGCUGGAAUAACCCAACAGUGCCUUGUGGAGUCUGGACAUUCCCAUGUAGAGCUGCCGUUGAACAGCAGCUGUGGCAGGAACCAGCAGAGGUUCCAGGACAAGGACAGGUUUGUAUUCCAUAGAAUUUGUUAUUUAUAACCCUCAUCCCCCAGCCCCACUGAUGUCCCUGGGGGACACUUGACAGAGUUCCCUGGAAUUCAGCUGAUUUCAUCCCCCUGAGCUCGGGCUCCAGUUGAAAUUUUAAAGCAGGAGAAGGUGAUGGCUCCUGGCCCGUGCUGAGGCAGCCCCUGUGCCCAGGGGAGGACAUCUCUCCCUGCAGGAGCUGACUCCAUCUCAGAGCCUCAGGAGUGCCUCUGCAGGUUCUUUUCCCUCAGGAAAGGGAUGCACAUCCCUGCUUCCAGCACACCUCCAGUGGGACCCACCUGUGAAAGUUUUCCAUCAGUUCUGUGGUUCCAGCUGGCUCCCUAGAACACUCCAAACUUCAUCCAAACAAAACUUCACCUGACUCUAACCUUUUAUUUACAGGCCUCCCUGAGGGCAUUGCUUGGGGUUUCAUUUCUGGGGGGAAGAUCCCCUUGGCUUUAACGCUGCUGAGGGAUGAUGGCCCCAGGCUGGGAGGGAAGGGGUUUGGGGGGCUGGGACACACCUGGGGGUAUGCAGGAGCUCCGGGAGGUCGGCACCGGGAAUUGCUGCCUGAGCCCCUCCUCAAACGCACCGCGCUG